UAUAGUGUGCACGAUUGGCAUAGUUAUAGAAUGACAGUUGCUCUCAAGGAUUUAGCUACAAAAUAAUUAUGCAGUGCAUGAGUGUGUAUAAUUAUAGAUUUUUAGCUUUCUAGUUUGUUAAGGUGCUGUCUUGCCUCUAUAAUGAUAUCCUCCUUGCUUUGCUCCAGCACAUGGACACUGCGGCAGUAUACUGUGGUGUGGUGUGAGUGCUAGUACUGCUAAUUACACUCUCACCAUUAAUGACAACACAGCCCAGCACAUGGACAUGCAGUCAGUCACACACCACCAACUCUUGCAACCAUUAUCUCACCCCUGUAAUUGGCUCUGGAAAUUUACAAAAAGCCAACUGAUUUCCAUCGCAAGAAGUUGUCGCUGCUCUCAGCUAAGCCUCUCUACCUUCAACUGACUCUGAACAUUCACAAAAGCUAGCUCACUUGUUGCUAAGUAAUUCACAGUCUACUCUUGUACUGAUCACUUGUUUUCAUCAUCCCCAAGUUUGUUGUUCUUGUAACACAAUAAUGUUUAUAUUCAGCAAUAAUGUAUGCAGGUAUAAUAAUACCCAUAAUUUUAUUUAA